rnacentral:lncRNA from 1 species
CCAAUGGGAAGGUGAGAGAACCUGGCCCAGCUGGGCAAAUGAGAGGGCAAAAGGGAUAGCUCUCCAUCUACCUGGGGAAACGGGACUUCGUGGACCAUGUGGACACGGUGGAACCCAUUGGUCAGUGAGUCCAAAAAAGGGAAGCCUGGGGAAAGAGGAAUGGAAACUAGGGAGUAAAAGAAAGUCCAGGAAAGACCGUGCAGAAAAGGAGGCAAAUUAAAGGGAAGAAUAGGAAGAACCAUUUCAGGGAUCAUCCUCUGUUUCAUAGUCUGAGAGUUUUUCCUGACCAAAGUGCUGUCUGUCCUUCUCUCCACAGACGGUGUUGUCCUGGU